AAAUUGAAGAGUUUGAUCAUGGCUCAGAUUGAACGCUGGCGGCAGGCCUAACACAUGCAAGUCGAACGGUAACAGGAAGCAGCUUGCUGCUUCGCUGACGAGUGGCGGACGGGUGAGUAAUGUCUGGGAAACUGCCUGAUGGAGGGGGAUAACUACUGGAAACGGUGGCUAAUACCGCAUAACGUCGCAAGACCAAAGAGGGGGACCUUCGGGCCUCUUGCCAUCAGAUGUGCCCAGAUGGGAUUAGCUAGUUGGUGAGGUAACGGCUCACCAAGGCGACGAUCCCUAGCUGGUCUGAGAGGAUGACCAGCCACACUGGAACUGAGACACGGUCCAGACUCCUACGGGAGGCAGCAGUGGGGAAUAUUGCACAAUGGGCGCAAGCCUGAUGCAGCCAUGCCGCGUGUAUGAAGAAGGCCUUAGGGUUGUAAAGUACUUUCAGCGGGGAGGAAGGUGUUGUGGUUAAUAACCACAGCAAUUGACGUUACCCGCAGAAGAAGCACCGGCUAACUCCGUGCCAGCAGCCGCGGUAAUACGGAGGGUGCAAGCGUUAAUCGGAAUUACUGGGCGUAAAGCGCACGCAGGCGGUCUGUCAAGUCGGAUGUGAAAUCCCCGGGCUCAACCUGGGAACUGCAUUCGAAACUGGCAGGCUUGAGUCUUGUAGAGGGGGGUAGAAUUCCAGGUGUAGCGGUGAAAUGCGUAGAGAUCUGGAGGAAUACCGGUGGCGAAGGCGGCCCCCUGGACAAAGACUGACGCUCAGGUGCGAAAGCGUGGGGAGCAAACAGGAUUAGAUACCCUGGUAGUCCACGCCGUAAACGAUGUCUACUUGGAGGUUGUGCCCUUGAGGCGUGGCUUCCGGAGCUAACGCGUUAAGUAGACCGCCUGGGGAGUACGGCCGCAAGGUUAAAACUCAAAUGAAUUGACGGGGGCCCGCACAAGCGGUGGAGCAUGUGGUUUAAUUCGAUGCAACGCGAAGAACCUUACCUGGUCUUGACAUCCACAGAACUUUCCAGAGAUGGAUUGGUGCCUUCGGGAACUGUGAGACAGGUGCUGCAUGGCUGUCGUCAGCUCGUGUUGUGAAAUGUUGGGUUAAGUCCCGCAACGAGCGCAACCCUUAUCCUUUGUUGCCAGCGGUUAGGCCGGGAACUCAAAGGAGACUGCCAGUGAUAAACUGGAGGAAGGUGGGGAUGACGUCAAGUCAUCAUGGCCCUUACGACCAGGGCUACACACGUGCUACAAUGGCGCAUACAAAGAGAAGCGACCUCGCGAGAGCAAGCGGACCUCAUAAAGUGCGUCGUAGUCCGGAUUGGAGUCUGCAACUCGACUCCAUGAAGUCGGAAUCGCUAGUAAUCGUGGAUCAGAAUGCCACGGUGAAUACGUUCCCGGGCCUUGUACACACCGCCCGUCACACCAUGGGAGUGGGUUGCAAAAGAAGUAGGUAGCUUAACCUUCGGGAGGGCGCUUACCACUUUGUGAUUCAUGACUGGGGUGAAGUCGUAACAAGGUAACCGUAGGGGAACCUGCGGUUGGAUCACCUCCUUACCUUAAAGAA
rnacentral:rRNA from 1 species